rnacentral:tRNA from 2 species
GCGGGAGUAGCUCAGCCUGGUGAGAGCGCGGGACUCAUAACCCCGAGGGCGGGGGUUCAAACCCCCCCUCCCGCA